UGUCGCCCUUCGAUAUGGCAAUGCAAUGUUUUAUCUGUCAAAAUUUCAACAUUUUCAUUGAUAAGGGAAGGUAAAAGUUUUAUCUUAAGAUCGCCUGGACUACUGACUCACCUCGACGUAAGCCGUAUCGGGAAACAUCUCCUGCAGCACUUCGGCCUCAUCCAAAAAGUAAUCGCAGUUCGAACUGGAGCUAUCAGUGGAGCCUCCAUCACUGGUCUCAGACAAGUGCUGGGAGCGCUUGCCGUGGCAGCCACCAUUGCCGUUGCCGCUGCUGCUGCUGUUGUUUGAGGAUAAUUCGUCCUUCUCCGAUAUGGAUGAGUUGCGUGCACGUAGCUUGGACUCUGGUAUAAUGUUAGACAAGCUCAAUUCGCUGUUAAAAAAAAAAGUAUUAAUGACAUACAGAAAAUAAUACAAAUGUAACAUGAAUUCGAAAAUAUGUUCUGGCUUACUGGAGCGAUAAAUUGA